rnacentral:rRNA from 1 species
UACGUAGGGUGCGAGCGUUAAUCGGAAUUACUGGGCGUAAAGCGUGCGCAGGCGGUUGUGCAAGACAGAUGUGAAAUCCCCGGGCUUAACCUGGGAACUGCAUUGGUGACUGCAUUGCUGGAGUAUGGCAGAGGGGGGUGGAAUUCCACGUGUAGCAGUGAAAUGCGUAGAGAUGUGGAGGAACACCGAUGGCGAAGGCGGCCAGCUGGCGCUGACCUGACGCUGAGGCGCGAAGGCAUGGGGAGCGAACGGG